UUUGUUUUCUCUUCCUACUUAAAGCCGCAAGUCUCUCACUUCACACAGACUUCCUGGCACGGCACUCAGAGUUCCAUUCAGACCCAUCCCACCACUAUGCCUUCUUUCUUGAUGAUGCUCCUGGCAUUGGCUGCCUCCUCUUCAAGUGUGGUCUCACAGGUGGUUCUGACCCAGACAUCAGAUCCAGUCUUGAAAAAACCUGGGGAAUCCCAUAAACUGAGCUGUGCCACUGCUGGAUUUGAUAUUAACAGCUACUGGAUGGACUGGAUCAGACAGAAACCUGGCAAAGGGCUGGAAUGGCUUGUUCACUAUUACAAUAGUGGGAACAGUCAUUAUUCCUCUGCAAUCCAAGGGCGAUUUACAGCCUCGAAGAGUGGAUCAAACUUCUAUCUGCAAAUGAACAACCUUAAACCUGAGGAUACAGCUGUGUAUUACUGUGCAAGAGACACAGUGAGAGGCUUCCCAUUAGACCUUAGACAAAAACCCUUCAUUGCAUUCCUUCAGUAGAGUUUCCAGAGGGGGCACUAAAGCACCACAAACAAGAAAC